rnacentral:rRNA from 1 species
UCAAGCGAUUAAGGGCGCACGGUGGAUGCCUUGGCGUCAAGGGCCGAUGAAGGGCGCGGCCAGACUGCGAAAAGCCUCGGUUAGCUGUCUAGCAAGCUUAGCCGGGGAUUCCCGAAUGGGGCAACCCACCCCGAUAAAAUCGGGGUACUCCUAGCUGAACACAUAGGCUAGGAAGGGGGAACCGGGGGAACUGAAACAUCUAAGUACCCCGAGGAAAGGAGAUUAUUCCCUUAGUAGUGGCGAACGAACGGGGAAAAGCCUAAACCGUAGCUGCUUAGUGGCCUCGGGGCCUAUGUAGCUACGGGGUUGUAAGGCAUGGUGGCCCCGACCCGAGUUGGGGCGAGGAGUUACAAACCGAUCCCUAGUUGAAGGAGCCUGGAAGGGUCAACCGCAGAGGGUGAGAGUCCCGUAGACGAAAGGGGGAGGCUCCUACCAUGUCCUUGAGUACCACGGGACACGAGGAAUCCUGUGGGAAGCUGGGGUGACCACAUCCCAAGGCUAAAUACCCUUGACGACCGAUAGUGAACUAGUACCGUGAGGGAAAGGUGAAAAGAACCCCGUAAGGGGAGUGAAAUAGAACCUGAAACCGUGUGCCUACAAGCAGUCAGAGCCCCGAUUUAUCGGGGUAAUGGCGUGCCUAUUGAAGAAUGAGCCGGCGAGUUAAUCGGUGUAGCAAGGUUAAGUCGUUUAAGCGAUGGAGCCGCAGCGAAAGCGAGUCUGAAUAGGGCGCACUCCCCCGAUUUUAUCGGGGGGUAGUUGCAUCGAUUAGACCCGAAACCGGGUGAGCUAUCCAUGGUCAGAGUGAAGCUCAGGUAAAUCUUGAGUGGAGGCUCGAACCCACCUGUGAUGCAAAACGGGGGGAUGAACUGUGGAUAGAGGUGAAAUGCCAAUCGAACCCGGAGAUAGCUGGUUCUCCCCGAAAUGCAUUGAGGUGCAGCCUCAGAGAUGAGCCUUGGAGGUAGGGCUCUGGAUGUGCUAGGGAGCGAAAAGCUUACCAAACUCAACCAAACCGCGAAUGCCAAGGCUUGAGACUCUGGGAGUGAGACUGUGGGGGAUAAGCUCCGCAGUCGAGAGGGAAACAGCCCAGACCAUCAGCUAAGGUCCCUAAGUGUAGACUAAGUGGGCAAGGAAGUGGUGUUGCCCAGACAGCCAGGAUGUUGGCUCAGAAGCAGCCAUCAUUUAAAGAGUGCGUAAUAGCUCACUGGUCGAGUGGUGCCGCGCCGACAAUCCAACGGGGCUUAAGUCUACCACCGAAGCUAUGGGUCUCCCGAUUUAUCGGGGGACGGUAGGGGAGCAUUCCGUAUUGCAGUGAAGGUGAGUUGUGAGGCUUGCUGGAGUAUACGGAAGAGAGAAUGCCGGCAUGAGUAGCGAAAGGCGUGUGAGAACCACGCCCACCGAAAACCCAAGGUUUCCUACGGAAGGUCAAUCCGCGUAGGGUUAGUCGGGCCUAAGCCGAGGCCGAGAGGCGUAGGCGAUGGACAGCUGGUUAUUAUUCCAGCACCGCCCACCCAAUAUGGGCAAUGGGGGGACACAGGAAGGUAGGUGGGGCGUGCCUAUUGGACAUGGCGCGUCUCCAAUCUUAGCCCCGAUUUAUCGGGGUGAGGAGCGGGGGGAGUUGAAGGGAGACCCGAUGCGACUCCACUGAACCUAAACUGUCAAGAAAAGCCCCAUUGCUUAGGGUGAGCGCCCGUACCGAAAACCGACACUGGUAGGUGGGGGUAAGAACCCUCAGGUGGUCGAGAGAACCCUCGUUAAGGAACUCGGCAAAAUUACCCCGUAACUUAGGGAGAAGGGGUCCCCGAUCUGAUCGGGGCGCAGUGAAAUGGCCCAGGCGACUGUUUAACAAAAACACAGGUCUCUGCAAACUCGUAAGAGGAUGUAUAGGGGCUGACACCUGCCCAGUGCUGGAAGGUUAAGGCGAAGGGUUAGUGAUGGCUUGCCAUUGCGAAGCCUUGAACUGAAGCCCCAGUGAACGGCGGCCGUAACUAUAACGGUCCUAAGGUAGCGAAAUCCCUUGUCGGGUAAGUUCCGACCCGCACGAAUGGUGUAACGACUUGGGCGCUGUCUCAACGAGGGACUCGGCGAAAUUGCAAUACCCGUGAAGAUGCGGGUUACCCGCGACAGGACAAAAAGACCCCGUGGAGCUUUACUACAGCUUGGCAUUGGGUUGAGGUUUCGGAUGUGUAGGAUAGGUGGGAGGCUGUGAAGCUGGGGCGUCAGCCCUGGUGGAGCCAACGGUGAAAUACCACCCUUCUUUGAUCUUGGUUCUAACCCCUGAGCAAGCAGGGGGAAAGUGCCUGGUGGGUAGUUUGACUGGGGCGGUCGCCUCCUAAAGGGUAACGGAGGCGCCCAAAGGUCCCCUCAGGGUGGAUGGAAAUCACCUGAAGAGUGCAUUGGCAGAAGGGGGCUUGACUGUGAGACCUACAAGUCGAGCAGGGACGAAAGUCGGGCAAAGUGAUCCCACGGUGCUGUGUGGAAAGGCCGUGGCUUAUCGGACAAAAGCUACCCCGGGGAUAACAGGCUAAUUUUGCCCAAGAGUUCACAUCGACGGCAAAGUUUGGCACCUCGAUGUCGGCUCGUCGCAUCCUGGGGCUGGAGCAGGCCCCAAGGGUUGGGCUGUUCGCCCAUUAAAGCGGCACGCGAGCUGGGUUCAGAACGUCGUGAGACAGUUCGGUCUCUAUCCGUCGUGGGCGUAGCAGAUUUGAGGGGAUCUCUCUCUAGUACGAGAGGACCGAGAGGGACAGACCUCUGGUGUGCCAGUUGUCGUGCCUACGGCACCGCUGGGUAGCCAAGUCUGGUCAGGAUAAGCGCUGAAAGCAUCUAAGUGCGAAGCCUACCCCAAGAUGAGAUCUGCCACCGGGUUAACCGGGUAAGGCCGCAGCGAGACUAGCUGUUUGAUAGGCCGCAGGUGUAAGGCGUGUGAGCGCUUCAGCUGAGCGGUACUAACGGCCGAGGGCUUGACC